rnacentral:rRNA from 1 species
GGGUGACUGCGUACCUUUUGUAUAAUGGGUCAGCGACUUAUAUUCUGUAGCAAGGUUAACCGAAUAGGGGAGCCGCAGGGAAACCGAGUCUUAACUGGGCGUUAAGUUGCAGGGUAUAGACCCGAAACCCGGUGAUCUAGCCAUGGGCAGGUUGAAGGUUGGGUAACACUAACUGGAGGACCGAACCGACUAAUGUUGAAAAAUUAGCGGAUGACUUGUGGCUGGGGGUGAAAGGCCAAUCAAACCGGGAGAUAGCUGGUUCUCCCCGAAAGCUAUUUAGGUAGCGCCUCGUGAAUUCAUCUUCGGGGGUAGAGCACUGUUUCGGCUAGGGGGUCAUCCCGACUUACCAACCCGAUGCAAACUACGAAUACCGAAGAAUGUUAUCACGGGAGACACACGGCGGGUGCUAACGUCCGUCGUGAAGAGGGAAACAACCCAGACCGCCAGCUAAGGUCCCAAAGUCAUGGUUAAGUGGGAAACGAUGUGGGAAGGCCCAGACAGCCAGGAUGUUGGCUUAGAAGCAGCCAUCAUUUAAAGAAAGCGUAAUAGCUCACUGGUCGAGUCGGCCUGCGCGGAAGAUGUAACGGGGCUAAACCAUGCACCGAAGCUGCGGCAGCGACACUAUGUGUUGUUGGGUAGGGGAGCGUUCUGUAAGCCGUUGAAGGUGGCCUGUGAGGGUUGCUGGAGGUAUCAGAAGUGCGAAUGCUGACAUAAGUAACGAUAAUGCGGGUGAAAAACCCGCACGCCGGAAGACCAAGGGUUCCUGUCCAACGUUAAUCGGGGCAGGGUGAGUCGACCCCUAAGGCGAGGCCGAAAGGCGUAGUCGAUGGGAAACAGGUUAAUAUUCCUGUACUUGGUGUUACUGCGAAGGGGGGACGGAGAAGGCUAUGUUGGCCGGGCGACGGUUGUCCCGGUUUAAGCAUGUAGGCGGAUGUUCCAGGUAAAUCCGGAACGUCACUAACGCUGAGGUGUGAUGACGAGGCACUACGGUGCUGAAGUGACAAAUGCCCUGCUUCCAGGAAAAGCCUCUAAGCAUCAGGUAACAUCAAAUCGUACCCCAAACCGACACAGGUGGUCAGGUAGAGAAUACCAAGGCGCUUGAGAGAACUCGGGUGAAGGAACUAGGCAAAAUGGUGCCGUAACUUCGGGAGAAGGCACGCUGAUGGUAAGUGAAGUGACUUGCUCAUGGAGCUGAAAUCAGUCGAAGAUACCAGCUGGCUGCAACUGUUUAUUAAAAACACAGCACUGUGCAAACACGAAAGUGGACGUAUACGGUGUGACGCCUGCCCGGUGCCGGAAGGUUAAUUGAUGGGGUUAUCCUCGCGGAGAAGCUCUUGAUCGAAGCCCCGGUAAACGGCGGCCGUAACUAUAACGGUCCUAAGGUAGCGAAAUUCCUUGUCGGGUAAGUUCCGACCUGCACGAAUGGCGUAAUGAUGGCCAGGCUGUCUCCACCCGAGACUCAGUGAAAUUGAACUCGCUGUGAAGAUGCAGUGUACCCGCGGCAAGACGGAAAGACCCCGUGAACCUUUACUAUAGCUUGACACUGAACACUGGUCCUUGAUGUGUAGGAUAGGUGGGAGGCUUUGAAGUGUGGACGCCAGUCUGCAUGGAGCCGUCCUUGAAAUACCACCCUUUAAUGGCUGGUGUUCUAACGUGGGCCCGUGAUCCGGGUUGCGGACAGUGUCUGGUGGGUAGUUUGACUGGGGCGGUCUCCUCCUAAAGAGUAACGGAGGAGCACGAAGGUCAGCUAAUCCUGGUCGGACAUCAGGAGGUUAGUGCAAUGGCAUAAGCUGGCUUGACUGCGAGCGUGACGGCGCGAGCAGGUGCGAAAGCAGGUCAUAGUGAUCCGGUGGUUCUGAAUGGAAGGGCCAUCGCUCAACGGAUAAAAGGUACUCCGGGGAUAACAGGCUGAUACCGCCCAAGAGUUCAUAUCGACGGCGGUGUUUGGCACCUCGAUGUCGGCUCAUCACAUCCUGGGGCUGAAGUAGGUCCCAAGGGUAUGGCUGUUCGCCAUUUAAAGUGGUACGCGAGCUGGGUUUAGAACGUCGUGAGACAGUUCGGUCCCUAUCUGCCGUGGGCGCUGGAGAAUUGAGGGGGGCUGCUCCUAGUACGAGAGGACCGGAGUGGACGCAUCACUGGUGUUCGGGUUGUCAUGCCAAUGGCAUUGCCCGGUAGCUAAAUGCGGAAGAGAUAAGUGCUGAAAGCAUCUAAGCACGAAACUUGCCCCGAGAUGAGUUCUCCCUGACUCCUUGAGAGUCCUGAAGGAACGUUGAAGACGACGACGUUGAUAGGCCGGGUGUGUAAGCGCAGCGAUGCGUUGAGCUAACCGGUACUAAUGAACCGUGAGGCUUAACCUUACAACGCCGAAG